UACGUAGGGGGCAAGCGUUGUCCGGAAUCAUUGGGCGUAAAGAGCGCGUAGGCGGCCCGAUAAGUCCGCUGUAAAAGUCAAAGGCUCAACCUUUGAAUGCCGGUGGAAACUGUCGGGCUAGAGUCCGGAAGAGGCGAGUGGAAUUCCUGGUGUAGCGGUGGAAUGCGCAGAUAUCAGGAGGAACACCAACGGCGAAGGCAGCUCGCUGGGACGGUACUGACGCUGAGGCGCGAAAGCGUGGGGAGCGAACAGG
rnacentral:rRNA from 1 species